rnacentral:lncRNA from 1 species
UGAGAAAGAGAGGAGGAGAGAGAGAGAGAGAGAAGGGCUGAUAACCAAGACAACGACACAAAGAUGGCGACAGAUUCCACUGCGGGACGCCAACGGUAGUCCAGAUUAACAGAUCGUCCUGCGGAGUACCAGAACCGUUGUCCGUCACAACGGGACGACGAUCGGCCUGACACCGCGACACGACCACCACCGACCCCGCCACAUCAUCGCCACGGGCGGUAUGGAGAGAGGUCCUAGCAGCAGCCAGGUGUGGAACCCCUCCUCUGUUAUCUGUAUGGACAGAGCAGAGCCCCCCCUGUUGACCUGGUGGUCCACCUGCAGGUGUGGGAUGGGGAGAGGAGGAAAACACCAGUCCACUGUUAUCUGUAUGGACAGAGCAGAGCCCCCCCUGUUGACCUGGUGGUCCACCUGCAGGUCUGGGAUGGGGAGAGGAGGAAAACACCAGUCCACUGGAGAGGAGUGGCACACCAUACAGGACCCUCGGCUGUUUCAAGGUCGAUGCCUGACUUACUGGCUACAGGCGUGUGACUGACAGCUCGACUGUCGGCGGCAUGCUCUCGCGCUGUCCUGCUGUCAGUCACUCUGGAGAUGGGUUCUGCGCCAAGGCGACCGGAGCAGCAACAGCGGAAAGGUAGAUUUAUACAGAUUUCUUCGUUUAUAAAAUGUCUGUUUUGGGCUGUUGUUUC